UCUUCAUGCUUUGUUAAUCUAUUUUGAUGUUUUCAAUUAUGUUUGGUUGUAUUUAAUUUCUAAUUUUAAUUUAGUUUAAUUCUCCUUGAAAAACACUUUCAAACCCCCCCUCCCACUUCGUGUUUGACCUGAUUCUUGAACCACAGUUUGGUCCUUGAGAGACGACCUAGGAGUCACUUCCUAGUCUAUACUGCAUUCUUUUAUGCACAUUAAAUUUUGCAUGGGGUGCGACACCCAUCAAAAUUUUGGCGCCGUUGCCGGGGACCAACGGUUCAGUUUAAGGUCUUUUGUUGUGUUAGUGCGUGUUGUGUUUUGUCUCGUGUUGUGAGUGUGAUGUUCUGUUUUGUGUGUUCGUUAUUGUGUGUGUGUGUGUUGCAUUUAGGUAGCUUUACUUGCAUAUUUUAAUUGCAUUCUUCUUUUCCCCCUUCCUUCUACAUGUCAACCUAUUUUGAUUUUGUGAAUACUGCUUCUUCUACCUGUGUCUAUGAUUAUGAUUCUCCUUCUGCAUCUAACUCUGAUAUUGGUUCUCAUGCAUAUUCUGCUGACUUUUAUGUUGAGAACAAUAUGACUCAUCCUCC
rnacentral:lncRNA from 1 species